GAUGAACGCUGGCGGCGUGCCUAAUACAUGCAAGUCGAGCGAACAGACGAGGAGCUUGCUCCUCUGACGUUAGCGGCGGACGGGUGAGUAACACGUGGAUAACCUACCUAUAAGGCUGGGAUAACUUCGGGAAACCGGAGCUAAUACCGGAUAAUAUAUUGAACCGCAUGGUUCAAUAGUGAAAGACGGUUUUGCUGUCACUUAUAGAUGGAUCCGCGCCGCAUUAGCUAGUUGGUAAGGUAACGGCUUACCAAGGCGACGAUGCGUAGCCGACCUGACAGGGUGAUCGGCCACACUGGAACUGAGACACGGUCCAGACUCCUACGGGAGGCAGCAGUAGGGAAUCUUCCGCAAUGGGCGAAAGCCUGACGGAGCAACGCCGCGUGCGUGAUGAAGGUCUUCGGAUCGUAAAACUCUGUUAUUAGGGAAGAACAAAUGUGUAAGUAACUAUGCACGUCUUGACGGUACCUAAUCAGAAAGCCACGGCUAACUACGUG
rnacentral:rRNA from 1 species